CCGUGGCGGCGUGCCUAUACAUGCAGUCGAGCGAACUGAUUAGAAGCUUGCUUCUAUGACGUUAGCGGCGGACGGGUGAGUAACACGUGGGCAACCUGCCUGUAAGACUGGGAUAACUUCGGGAAACCGAAGCUAAUACCGGAUAGGAUCUUCUCCUUCAUGGGAGAUGAUUGAAAGAUGGUUUCGGCUAUCACUUACAGAUGGGCCCGCGGUGCAUUAGCUAGUUGGUGAGGUAACGGCUCACCAAGGCAACGAUGCAUAGCCGACCUGAGAGGGUGAUCGGCCACACUGGGACUGAGACACGGCCCAGACUCCUACGGGAGGCAGCAGUAGGGAAUCUUCCGCAAUGGACGAAAGUCUGACGGAGCAACGCCGCGUGAGUGAUGAAGGCUUUCGGGUC
rnacentral:rRNA from 2 species